rnacentral:rRNA from 1 species
GGACUACCCGGGUUUCUAAUCCUGUUUGCUCCCCACGCUUUCGUGCCUGAACGUCGGUACUGGACCAGGAAGCCGCUUUCGCCACUGGUGUUCCUUCAGAUAUCUACGCAUUUCACCGCUACACCUGAAAUUCCGCUUCCCUCUUCCGUACCCUAGCUACACAGUCUCGAAUGCAAUUCCCAGGUUGAGCCCGGGGCUUUCACACCCGACUUAUGUAACCGUCUGCGCACGCUUUACGCCCAGUAAUUCCGAUUAACGCUUGCACCCUCUGUAUUACCGCGGCUGCUGGCAC